GGGCGGUUAGCUCAGCGGGAGAGCGCUUGACUCACAUUCAAGAGGUCAGAGGUUCGAUCCCUCUACCGCCCACCA
rnacentral:tRNA from 1 species